rfam:Tupaia chinensis contig24947, whole genome shotgun sequence.
GUGCUCACUUCGGCAGCACAUAUACUAAAAUUGGAAUGAUCCAGGGAUUAGCAUGGCGCCUGCACAGGGAUGACACGCAAAUUCAUGGUGCAGCCAAAAAAAAA